AUUGAACGCUGGCGGCAGGCCUAACACAUGCAAGUCGAACGAGUGGCGGACGGGUGAGUAAUGUCUGGGAAAAUGCCCGAUGGAGGGGGAUAACACAUGGAAAAGGGAGCUAAUACCGCAUACCCUAAGGGGUGCCCAGAUGGGAUUAGCUUGUGUGUGGGGGAACGGCUCACCACGGCGACGAGCCCUAGCUGGUCUGAGAGGAUGACCAGCCACACUGGAACUGAGACACGGUCCAGACUCCUACGGGAGGCAGCAGUGGGGAAUAUUGCACAAUGGGCGCAACCCUGAUGCAGCCAUGCCGCGUGUAUGAAGAAGGCCUUCGGGUUGUAAAGUACUUUCAGCGGGGAGGCGUUACCCGCAGAAGAAGCACCGGCUAACUCCGUGCCAGCAGCCGCGGUAAUAC
rnacentral:rRNA from 1 species